GUACCAGAACACCUCAAUGCCAGCACAUUCCUCACAGAUAUACACUGACCCAUCCUAAAGAUGAGGUCAGGAUAACAGUAUGAUGAAUAGAGGCGUUUUGAUUUAACCUACAUGAACAAGUUUGCUUGAGAUCUGCUGUGCCAGCUACAUGUGCAGAACUGGCACUGACUGCAGGGAGAACAUGCACACACAGCCAAACAGCCAUCAACAUCUGACAGAAAAACCACACUGAGAACUGGACUGAGACCAUCAGCCAGCAGAUGGCAGUCAUUUUUGGUCACUGCUGACAUGGACUGAAUUCAAACAGGUCUUUUGAGAACACCUGUCAAUGGAAGAGAUGCUGUGAGAGGAUAAAUGUUGAGGCAUUGGUGUAGCAGAAGGCUUCACGCUUACAAAUAGGUGACCAAGUGUUUUACUUUAAAGCACAUGAACCCUCCCAUUAGACAGCUCACAUCAAGGUGAAGCACCUGCUGGAAUGCCGGCAGGCUCAGGGCCGAAAUGUUGCUCUUUUGGAUAAUCCCUUAUGCCAGAAAACCGUAACAGGUAUCAGUUUGCUUAUGGACGCAGACUGCUGUUACUGCUGCUCAUUUGUUACCACAACAGAGGAAAUUAUGACAAACCAUUAAAUAAACUUAAAGGGAGGCUCAAUUUCUUCAUAUAGGUUACUGUUGAUUUAUAUGCUCCAUCGGUUUAAACAGCCUGUUCAAAUUUUGAAAUAAAAUGUU